rnacentral:rRNA from 1 species
UACGUAGGGUGCGAGCGUUUGUCCGGAAUUAUUGGGCGUAAAGAGCUUGUAGGCGGUUUGUCGCGUCUGCUGUGAAAAUCCGGGGCUCAACCCCGGACUUGCAGUGGGUACGGGCAGACUGGAGUGUGGUAGGGGAGACUGGAAUUCCUGGUGUAGCGGUGAAAUGCGCAGAUAUCAGGAGGAACACCGAUGGCGAAGGCAGGUCUCUGGGCAUUAACUGACGCUGAGGAGCGAAAGCAUGGGGAGCGAACAGG